rnacentral:rRNA from 1 species
GCCCUUCGGGGUGGAUUAGUGGCGAACGGGUGAGUAACACGUGGGCAAUCUGCCCUUCACUCUGGGACAAGCCCUGGAAACGGGGUCUAAUACCGGAUAACACUCUGUCCCUCAUGGGACGGGGUUAAAAGCUCCGGCGGUGAAGGAUGAGCCCGCGGCCUAUCAGCUUGUUGGUGGGGUAAUGGCCUACCAAGGCGACGACGGGUAGCCGGCCUGAGAGGGCGACCGGCCACACUGGGACUGAGACACGGCCCAGACUCCUACGGGAGGCAGCAGUGGGGAAUAUUGCACAAUGGGCGAAAGCCUGAUGCAGCGACGCCGCGUGAGGGAUGACGGCCUUCGGGUUGUAAACCUCUUUCAGCAGGGAAGAAGCGAAAGUGACGGUACCUGCAGAAGAAGCGCCGGCUAACUACGUGCCAGCAGCCGCGGUAAUACGUAGGGCGCAAGCGUUGUCCGGAAUUAUUGGGCGUAAAGAGCUCGUAGGCGGCUUGUCACGUCGGAUGUGAAAGCUCGGGGCUUAACCCCGAGUCUGCAUUCGAUACGGGCUAGCUAGAGUGUGGUAG